GUACAUUAAUGACUCUAUCACUAACUAGACUUACUGUCCAAUGAACCCAACCAAUAAACAAUAUCUGUUUAACAUUACAACUACAAAUAAAGCUGGGAAUGGGUCUAUUAGUGACAUAACUGUUGGAUUUCAAUCAAAUGUACAGUUAUAUGUAACUGAUAAGGAAAGAGGGAAUGUAAAUUGGACUUUACAUUUCAUUGUAUCUAAGUAUAAUGCAGUUAUGUUUACUUUCAGUUUUGUACUAAUGUACCACCACUAGUGAACAUUACAUUGAAAGGAUGUACUAAGGAUAACUGUUUUUCAACAACAAAUGUAUCCAUAAGCAAUAGUUCUUAUAAUAACUUUUCACUUGUUGUUCAAUUUCCAUUAAAUAAGACACUGAAUACUAAUGCUACCUUGUACUAUCAAAAUGGAGUUACAGUUCAAAGCAACACUAUAACAAUCAGUAAGUGCUUGGAAAAGAUGAGGACUACUCCUGGGUUGACAAGUUAGUGAAAUGGCAGCAAAAAAUUGUUGGUUUUAGUAUGGCAUUAGGUAGAUAUUGGAUUUUUAUUUGGCACUCAAUUUUUAGCAGUUGAAUUUAUGAGAUUAUACGAAGAUGACACUCAUUCAUGCAACAAGCUUGAUUAUAUCUUUAGUCACUUCACUGGUAUCUUCUUUUAGUAAAUACUUUCUGGACAUGAGGAACAGACCUAAGGUUUAUCCUAAAGUCAUCCUGCCAACUCUCAAGUGGCAUCAUAUGGGGAUAGCAAUGAGUGAGUCAUCAUGGGACUGUCAUGUGGCAUCUUCCUCUCUUUAGCUGGCUACUUUGUAGCUAAUGAGAAUUUAUCACUAGCUGUUAGUUUCCCAAUCAUUACAGCGAUGUACUGUAUAUACAUGUUUAUUCUAUUAGGGCCCUGGAUUUAUUAGUCCAGUUUGGGGUAUUUUACUAUACAGAGAGAUCAAGGCAUGAAAAAAUAUUAGUCUUUACUUUGGUGGCUUUUUUUGUUUCAGUCUGUGGUGUGAUAAUGGUUGCUCUCUCUCUCUCGAAUAACAAAGUUAAAUGUUAAUGAUACAUAAAUUUCACUGAGUGAUUGAUAAAAAAAAUUGAUGAGGAGGCUAACAAAAAUAUAGUAA